rnacentral:snoRNA from 1 species
CACUUUGUCCAAAAGUUAUCCACCGCUAUAGACAGUACGAGGACUGAGCCAAUUCCCACUCAGUUCAACGUGAUAAGCGGUUUUUAAGGAGAGAAUAAAUUGUUACUCAUUAAGAACUCGAGUGGAGUCUGGGUCAGGAUUCCUGGCCACAUGAGACUCGAGUGUCAGAGAGUGCCUAUAUUA